rnacentral:rRNA from 1 species
CCUACGGGAGGCAGCAGUGGGGAAUAUUGGGCAAUGGAGGAAACUCUGACCCAGCGACGCCGCGUGCGGGAUGAAGGCCUUCGGGUUGUAAACCGCUUUCAGUAGGGAAGAAGCGAAAGUGACGGUACCUACAAAAGAAGCACCGGCUAACUAUGUGCCAGCAGCCGCGGUAAUACAUAGGGUGCAAGCGUUGUCCGGAAUUAUUGGGCGUAAAGAGCUCGUAGGUCGUUUGUUACGUCGGAUGUGAAAACCUGAGGCUCAACCUCAGGCCUGCAUUCGAUACGGGCAAACUAGAGUUUGGUAGGGGAGACUGGAAUUCCUGGUGUAGCGGUGGAAUGCGCAGAUAUCAGGAGGAACACCAAUGGCGAAGGCAGGUCUCUGGGCCAAUACUGACACUGAGGAGCGAAAGUCUGGGGAGCGAACAGGAUUAGAUACCCUGGUAGUCCAGACCGUAAACGGUGGGCACUAGUUGUGGGAACCUUCCACGGUUUCUGCGACGCAGCUACGCAUAGUGCCCGCCGUCGGGAGGUACGACGUCGCGAGAAGUUAAAACGUUAAAAGGUAAAGUUAGACGGUCGUGUAGACGUUGCCGAACGGACGACGACGAGGGAGGAGG